UACUAAGGGUGCAAACGUUGCUCGGAAUUAUUGGGCGUAAAGCGCACGUAGGCGGCUCCGCAAGUCCCAUGUGAAAGCCCACGGCUUAACCGUGGAAGUGCAUGGGAAACUGCAGAGCUUGAGUACUAAAGAGGAUCGCGGAAUUCCCGGUGUAGAGGUGAAAUUCGUAGAUAUCGGGAGGAACACCUGUGGCGAAAGCGGCUCACUGGACCAUUACUGACGCUGAGGCUCGAAAGCUAGGGGAGCAAACAGG
rnacentral:rRNA from 1 species